rnacentral:misc_RNA from 1 species
CGCUUUUUCGCUUUCUAUCUGCCCGCCAGUGUUUUCGUAUCCAAUCACGUAACGUCCUUGCUGGAUGAUUUAGCCGUGCUAUUGUCAUAUCGAAUAAACGUUUUUACUUCGUUGUCCGGGUGCGAGCUAAAUAGGAGAUUGUCUCUUACUCCAGUGCGAGAUGUCGGCAUAACAGAUCGUCAAACAAUCAAUCAGCUAGUCCGUCAGCAAGCAAGCAAGCGUGAAAAGUCCGAGUAACAGUGAAUUGGUGACAAUUAUUGGCAGCAGAAAAGUCAGUUCAGCCAGCGUGGCAAAGAGUCUAACAUUGUACCUGUGUGCGUGUGCGUGCGUGACAAGCCCCGAUUUGUGAUUUAAUUUUGAAGUGAAAAAAAAAACAAAUUAAUAUAAAUAAAUUCCGCUGUCCACAGUCGAACAUUGCAUUUUAAGCAAACAAUAAAGAACAAACAACAACAACAAAUCAUAGCGAACAGAAAUAGUGACGAGUAAUAAACAGGAGAAUAAACGAGAAUUUUGUGAAACACAGGCGCUAAGUGAGUAAAAUUAACAAAUCGAACUGAAAGUGCCAGCGGCGAUUUCGAAAAGCAAAGCAAAAGAUUUAAAACUAAAACCGAAGUGUAGUAUAACAAACGUUUUAUAUUCCUCUCCAAAAGUAUUUUUGUUACUCUCGUUGUUGUUGUGAUUAAAUCGAUUAUUGCAUUGCAUAGAAAAAUGUCACCACUGAAGGAACGUACACUGCUGCUAUUAGGCAUCCUAUGCUGUUUACAAGCAACCACUGCGCUGAUGUGCUACGACUGCAACAGCGCCUAUGAUCCCAAUUGUGGUGAUCCAUUUGAGCCAUACACGCUUGGCAAAGUCAAUUGCACUCAACAAGAGGUUAAGGAGCAUCUCAAGGAUAAAUACACUCAACCAGUGUUGUGCCGUAAAACCACACAAAAGGUUUAUGGUAAAGUACGCGUAGUACGCGGUUGUGGCUACAUAACCGAUAAGUCCGAUGAUGGUUUGUGCUUGAAACGCUCCGGCACUCACGAUGUGCAAGCCAUCUAUUGUGCGUGCACUGGUGAAUUGUGCAACCACGCCGCCUCCACAUUGUACCAGAGCAACAAUCAUCCCAUAAUAUCGGCAUUACCCUAUACAUUAGCUGCGUUCUUCGUAUGGAUGGCUACAGUUUCGAGUCAUUUCAAUAUCAAUACUAUUGGUGCUGUGCAAAAUUCAUAAAUGCAACAAAAAAUAUAUAGAAAAGCAAGCCUACAUGCAUAUAUAUAUAAUAUAUAAAAAUAAGUAUGUAUAUAUGUGCGUACAUGCGUACAUACGUAAGUGUGUAUGUAUGUGUAUAACGGAAAUUAAGUCGAGAAAUCUUUGUGUUUCCCCGGUUUGAGUUUUGAGUGUAGUCAUUAAAAAUCAACAAAACUUACAUACAUACAAACAAGCAAUCAUACCCCACACAAAUGCAUAAACAGAUAUUGGAAAAAUAAAAGUAAACAGAAAAACCAAAAACAGAAAAAAAGCAACAACAAACAAUACAAAUAAAGGCGCAGAAGGAUGGAGACGAAUAGAGAGAUGGCGAAUAAAUACCUAUGUUGAAGAAUAGUCCAGCUGUAUACGAAUUUGUUGCAUAACUGUAUAAUUUGAGCAAGGUAUGCAGUUUUCCUUGCUAUGCGAAAUUUAGUUAAGUUAAGUUGGCGAAUAAUGGAGAUUUGAUUUGGAAUUAACUGUGUCCUCCAUAUGUUAAUUUAAACGUGAGCUAGAAGCAAAAUCAUUCAACUUCAAAAUUCCAUGCAAAUUAACGGUAACACAACAAACCGAUUAUUUGAAUGUAGCACAGUUCAACGCAUUUGGCUAGAGAGUAGAUAACCACAUUCUGUCAGUAUUACAAAAAUUAUGCGUAACGCCUAAAAAUAUGCCACACAAUUUUAUUUGUUUCGUUCAAAUGUUGGUAAUGCGAUUACAUGCGAUUCCAAAUUAUUGGGAGUAAUUUAUCUGUUAAGUAAUCAGGUAAUCAAAUAACAAGCAACUUAUUAUAACUUUUAUUAAUUUAAAUAUUCAUAAAUUAAUUUUACUGACUAUGCCAGGAUGGCUGCAGCCUAGACAGCGCACUGUGCUAAAUGUACUUGUAAAAUUAUGUGCGUGUGCAUGUAGUUGAUGUUAAACAUGCGUAUACAUAAAUAUAUAUAUAUAUGUAUAUAUAUAUAUAUAUAUAUAUAUGUAUGUACGAGUAAUAUUGUAAGCUAUUAAGCAAAAACUUUAACAGACAAAAAAAAUACCAUACAAGGAAAACAAAAACAACUGCCGUCGUAACAUGUCUUGCGUUUAGAAUAAAACAUAAAAUUUUAGUAAUAUUUUCACGUUGUAUAUAUGUAUGUACAUACGUAUAUUCGUGUAUGUGUGAACUAUAGUUUUGAAUUUAACAUAUAUAUAUGUAUGUAUUUGAAGAUUUUCAAGAACUUCUUGUGUGAGCGCCGGUAUUGUGAAGGCUUAAAAAAUUAUAAAAGAGCUGAAAGAAAAGAAAUAAAUGUAUGCCCUUUUCAACUAAACUUUCGUCACAGCAAGCAAACUUCUCGUUACAUAAACGUCAAGGAGCACUUAAAUAAGAAUGCAUUGUGGUUUUAAUAUGUGUAUUAAAUAACGCAGAAAUAUGUACGUACAUAUAUGUAUGUAUAUGUAUGUAUGUACGCAUAAAAUUCAUAACUUAUAAACAACUCCAUAACCACGAAAUUAUCGAGCUGCCAUCAUUUGCUAAGUUUAUGCAAAUAAUAUUAAUUUGCGCAAGCCAUACAUCUGCACAUUUACACACACAAUUAAAAAUAUUUCAAGCAGUUAUUGGCAAUUUUCAUUAACAGAAAAUGUAAAAAAAAGCACGUUUUAUUUCACUGAUGCUGGCGCAGCUCUGCUAUCAGUGUCUAUGAUAAUUGAUAAUACCAUUAAAUUGCAAUUAAGAACGAAACUAAAAAUUGAAAUUAAAAUUCUAAUUUAUCUUGUGAAAUGGUUGGAUUUAUUUUAACAGCUGAUAUUUGUUUACAUAACUAAUUCGCUGCUGACUGUGAGUGGCCAGAAUGCAUUGGAUAGAGUAACGAGUGUUGAGUAACGAGUGGAGAAUGCAAAAUGUAGGCGGCACUGCGCAUAGGAAUUUUGUAAAAUAUUAAAAAAAUCUUAAGAAAAAUUUGAAAUAAAUUUGCCGAAAAAAACAAAUAACGUAAUGAAAUACAAGAUCAUCGCUAAUACAACGCAUAAAAGCAAACUAAAAUUAUUUUACGAACAUACACACAAACAUUAAGAAGGUUCUAUAACGUAAAGGGGAAGAGACAAGCAUACAUACAGUUCUAUAUAUAUUUGGAUAUUAGCUUACAUUCAAAAAAAAAAAAAAAAACAUUGCAACAUCAAUUCUUACAUAAAUAAUAUACCUACAUACAAAAUACCAAGCAUCAAAUACAAUGCGUACAUAUACUAAAUCUACAUGCAUAAAACCACAUAUUUUGUCCACAAAAUUAUACAAAAAUAAAUAUAAAAUAAAAUUAAAUGAAAAAGAAGAAGAGUAUAAAAGCAAGCAAAAAAUAUACAUACAUAAUUAUAUUGCAUAUAAUAAUGGAAGUUUUCAUAAACCCCGAAAUAAUUUCCAUAAAAAUAAAAAUAAAACAACAAACUAAUUAAAUAAUAAUAAAAAUAUGUCUAAUUAAAAAUAGUUAAAACAUGGAAAACAACAUCGCUGCGCAUAUAAUAUUAGGAAAACAAUGAACUCAUCGAAAUUUACACAUACUCACUUACAACUAAACUCAAAAUUAAUUGAAAGAAUAAGAAAUUUUCUAAUAGAACUAAAAAUUUCAAAUUCUUCCUAUAAUAAUUACAUACGUAUGUAUGUAUUUCAUUAAAACAUUAAAAAAGAAGAAGAAAAAUACAUAAUAAUGCAAAGCAACAUAUGCACUUGUGAAUACAUAUUGUAACACACACUUGCAUUCAUAUAUUCACAAAAACAGCAAUAAAUAUUUUUAUUAUAUUCAAUUUUAUUUGUUUUUUUCUUUUUGCUGGUAACCUUGUACGGACCAAAAUUUUUCUAUAGCAACCAAUGAGCACUUCAAAAGCAAUGCCUUUACAAUACACAUACAUACAUAUGUAUGUAUUACAUUAAUUAUAGAUUAGUGAUAUUUUAGUAUAAUAUGUAUAUGUAUGUAUAUCAUUUCAUAGCAUAUUAAUAGCUAAAAAUUAAUUAUUAAUUAUUUAUUAUAUACUUAUAAUAUAUUAAAUUUCAUACGCAUUUCCACCAAGAGCGAUGUUUGACAAUUAUUAAAUUUUUUUUCUUUGCAUAUUACAUACAUAUAUACGCUUUUCUUUAUAUAAAAAUAAAUAUAAAUAUAUUUGCACUUAUUCAAUAUGGAUUCAUUUUCCUAACAGAAUUAUGUAAUAACGGUCUUUUUUGUACAAAACUUACUGUGUUAAACGAAAUGUUUAAAUUCCAUUAUAUUUUGCGAAUUUGUGCUUAAAGUUUGUAUAUAUUUGAAAGUAUAAUUAUUUUUAUUGUUGUUUCUCUUAGCGAAUUUAUUAUGUAGAAAUAAUCGUAUGAAUUCCAAGCCUUUGGGAAAUUUGUUUACUAAUGUUAAUCCUAAAUGUUACCGUUAUUUAAUGGCUUUAAAACAGAUGUGUGAUAAAAUCGUCAUUAUUCUUCACUUUCAAACAAAUUUUCAAUCACUGUGAUUUUUAUACUCAUAAUUAUACCAAUAUAUAAGAAAUUUGGUUCGAGGCAAUGCUGCCAUAUUUUGGCAAAAAAUAAGUGUACAUUAAAUUCUUAAAAGUUAUGUAAUGUAAUUUAAAAAUUCUUAACUUUUCAAGUAAUCUAUUUCGUUUUUAAUUCAAAAAGGAAUUUUAAUAUUUUUCGACUUGUUAAACAGUUAUUCAAAACACUCAUAUUUACAAAUUAAAGUAAUUUUUUUUCAACUUAUACAUAUUUCUACGUGUGUAUGCGUAUAAUUUGAAUUACAAAAAUAAUAUUAUAAAAUAUCUACAGUUGAAUUGGGCUUGUGAAAAUUAAAAUGCAAUAAUUGCAUUAAAUUAUUUAUAUAUACAAUCACACACAUACACGUAUAAACACAAGCAGAAGCAAAAGAAAACACUUUACUAAAAAGCAAUCUUUUUAUGAACAUUUGAGCUACCAAACACGCCUCUAAACACACACACAUAUUCACAUAACUCACGCGUUCCAGUGCAUAUUAAACACAUACUCGUACAACUUACUUGAAUUAGACACAUUGAAUUAAUGGAAAUAUUGUCGAAUACUCAUGAAUUCAGCUAAACUACAUAUUGUUAACAAACAUAAACCCAUACAUAUAUACAUUAAACACAAUAAUGCAUGAAUUAAUACAAAGAGCUAAAUAAAAAAAGAAAACAAAGUAGAAUAACUCAAAAUAUGAUUUUUUUGAGUAUAAAACAAUUUGCAAUAUCUAAAUAAAAAAUUAUUCAACCCCAUGAUACAUACAGUAAUGUAUAUGUAUACAAACUAUAUGUAUGUAUAUGUGCAAAUGCAUUUGUUGGUAUUGAAAAUUACCAGCAAACCGAAGUAUUUUUAAUUUCAUAAUUAAUUCUACUCUAAAAAUACAGAAUAAACCAAAGAGCAAAUUGAAAUUAUACUGAAUACUUACAUACUUACACACACACAUACACACACAUACACACACACAAAAUGAAAACAAGCAGUAAAAACACAUGAAAGUGUAAAACAAAAUACUAAAUACUAAAUACCAAAUUAAUAUAUUUAAUAAAUUUGAAAUUCAUGUAGAUAUAUAACUAAUUUUAAAGAUUAAAAUAAAUUUAAAUCAAUGAACGAAAUGAUAAUAAAAGCAAAACAAGAAAAAAGUAAAACCGAAAACAACAUCAAGAAACAACAAACACUAGCCGACAAACAAAGAAAAAAUAAAUAAAAAUUAGUUAAGUAAACCAAAAGCAAAAAAAGAAAACAAACAAUAUAUUUAAUUAAGUAUGAAAAUAAAAGCAAAUAUUAAGCAAAAAGCAAAAAUAUAUAAGAAAUUAUGAAGCAUAAAAUAUAAUUAUUUAAAUAUGGAAUAGAAAAAGAAAUAAGUAAAUAAAAAAAUCAUUGACUAAUUGAAAGUGUGCUGUGGUGUGGCUAAUUUAGCACUAAAGCUGAAGAGUUUGGAAUGGUCAAUACAAACUAUUACAAACUCUUAUGGAGUGCCAUUAAUUGAAUUCUUCACAAAAUUUAGAUAAAAUAUUAUAAAUUUAUUUCUUAAAAAGAAAAACUAAAAAAAUCAAAUAAAUUGAUUGCGUUAGUAAAUAACAGCGGGAAACAUUGUAGUACUUUUUACGUGCAGCGUAAAGUUGUUGCAAAGCUAAACGUAUGUAUGUCCCAAUGUUCUGAAUGCCCGUAAGCAUUAUAUUCUUACAUGUUUCUUAAGUUCUCACCCACUAACUUGCAGCCAUAUAUGUAUGUAUGUAUUAUGAACAUCUUACUACACAAAAACAAUUUAAUCCAACAAAAAGCACGCAUACAAUAACAAUAAAUAUGUAUUCAUAAUAUUUAAUAAUUAGUAAAAACAGGAAAAUUUUACAAAGAAAAAAAAAUUCUACGAUCAUAAAUGUGCACAGCUGUGCUGACGCCCUGUGGUGUAAGUGAAAUGUAAACAAACGUUCGUGUAACAAACGUCAUCACGAUUAUGCGGCAUUCGGAUAUGUUUAAUGGGCAUUGACACAUGCUUUCAUUUAAAAUUCACUUCUUUCGACAUUCAUUCGUGUUGUAAUAUUGUGCUGGCAAGGGAUGUGCAUAUCAAACGCCUAAUUUAUAAUUAUUAUGCAAAAUUAAUUAAUUUAAUAGCAAAUACACACUCAAGUAAUUGUGUAUGUCGGUUAUACAUAUAGCGUGGAUAAAUAAAAAGAAUUAUGUAGAGGAAAACGUACUCAAAAAAAAAUAUAAAUAUUUGAUAAAUGGUAGGAAAUUUUGCAGCUAUUCUUAUAGAUUUUCAAACCUAUAACUGCCUAAAAGUUAAAAGCAAUAAACUACUAUUUAAAAGAGUUAAUAAUAUUUAUUGUGACAGAUCUAUGUGCAUAAGUAUUUAUGUAAAUCGCGUCUGAUAAGCACAUCUAAAACGAGUUGGUGCAGCAAUAUUACUGAUUGUUUCAUAGAAAAUAAUAUACAUGCAUAUGUAUGUAUGUAUAUUUUAGUUCACUAAUUAAAAUAUUUGUGUUUUUCCAACAUAUGUUCAAUAAGAAGCAAGUGAGAAUUUGUGUUUCACAUAAUGUGUACGUGUUUUUCAAGUAGCAAGCAGCAUAUCACAAGCUUUUGCUUCUAACAAAACAAAUAAGAGUUAUUAUAACAAAAUAAAAAUAUACAUAUAUAUAAUUUAUUGAAAAUAAUUACUUUUAAACCUUAUUUAUAAACUUUAAUUGUAGUGUUUAAGUUAACAUACUAAUUAAAUUGAAAAAAAAAAA